CAGACGGGUGAGUAACGCGUGGUCAACCUACCGUUGAGUGGGGGAUAACUAGCCGAAAGGUUAGCUAAUACCGCAUACGUCUCCGAGUGGCAUCACUUGGCGAUAAAAGGAGCAAUCCGCUCGAUGACGGGACCGCGUCCCAUUAGCUAGUUGGUGGGGUAACGGCCUACCAAGGCACCGAUGGGUAGCUGGUUUGAGAGAGCGACCAGCCACACUGGGACUGAAAAACGGCCCAG
rnacentral:rRNA from 1 species